CGCCUGUUUAUCAAAAACAUAGCUUUAUGAAAUAUAAAUAUAAGGUUAGUUCUGCCCAGUGAAAAUUUCAACGGCCGCGGUAUCCUGACCGUGCAAAGGUAGCAUAAUCAUUUGCCCCUUAAUUAGGGGCUAGUAUGAAUGAAUAAACAUUUUCCUACUGUCUCAUUUAUAAGCAUAAAAAUUUACCUUCAGGUGAAGAGGCCUGAAUUUAUUAAAAAGACAAGAAGACCCUAUCAAGCUUUAUUUUACUAUAUUUAUUAAAUAUUUAAAGUUUAGUUGGGGCAACAAAAUACUAAUUAUCAUCUUUAUUUCUAAAGGACUAUAUUCCUAUAAUAUAACCUAAAAAUGACUAAAAGAAAGCUACUGUAGGGAUAACAGGCUAAUACUUUUCAAGAGUCCUUAUCUACAAAAGUGAUUGGCACCUCGAUGUUGGCUUAGGAUACCUCAUUUAUGCAGAAGUAAAUAAAGGUGGUUUGUUCAACCAAUAAAUUCCUACAUGAUCUGA
rnacentral:rRNA from 1 species